AUUGAACGCUGGCGGCAGGCCUAACACAUGCAAGUCGAACGGUAACAGGAAGAAGCUUGCUUCUUUGCUGACGAGUGGCGGCCGGGUGAGUAAUGUCUGGGAAACUGCCUGAUGGAGGGGGAUAACUACUGGAAACGGUAGCUAAUACCGCAUAACGUCGCAAGACCAAAGAGGGGGACCUUCGGGCCUCUUGCCAUCGGAUGUGCCCAGAUGGGAUUAGCUAGUAGGUGGGGUAACGGCUCACCUAGGCGACGAUCCCUAGCUGGUCUGAGAGGAUGACCAGCCACACUGGAACUGAGACACGGUCCAGACUCCUACGGGAGGCAGCAGUGGGGAAUAUUGCACAAUGGGCGCAAGCCUGAUGCAGCCAUGCCGCGUGUAUGAAGAAGGCCUUCGGGUUGUAAAGUACUUUCAGCGGGGAGGAAGGGAGUAAAGUUAAUACCUUUACUCAUUGACGUUACCCGCAGAAGAAGCACCGGCUAACUCCGUG
rnacentral:rRNA from 1 species